AUACGGAGGGUGCAAGCGUUACUCGGAAUCACUGGGCGUAAAGCGCGCGCAGGCGGCCAUUUAAGUUGGAUGUGAAAGCCUACGGCUCAACCGUAGAACUGCAUCCAAAACUAUUUGGCUAGAGUGUGGGAGAGGAAGAUGGAAUUAGUUGUGUAGGGGUAAAAUCCGUAGAGAUAACUAGGAAUACCAAAAGCGAAGGCAAUCUUCUGGAACAUUACUGACGCUGAGGCGCGAAAGCGUGGGGAGCAAACAGGAUUAGAUACCCCGGUAGUCC
rnacentral:rRNA from 1 species